GGCCAUAUGGUGUAGUGGUUAUCACCUCCAAAUAUAUGUUGGAUGUUCGAAUCCUGGUGUGGCCA